rnacentral:rRNA from 1 species
AGUGGCGAACGGGUGAGUAAUAUAUCGGAACGUACCUUAUUGUGGGGGAUAACGCAGCGAAAGCUGUGCUAAUACCGCAUAAUCCCUAAAGGGGAAAGCGGGGGACCGUAAGGCCUCGCGCAAUUAGAGCGGCCGAUACCUGAUUAGCUAGUUGGUGAGGUAAAGGCUCACCAAGGCAACGAUCAGUAGCUGGUCUGAGAGGACGAUCAGCCACACUGGGACUGAGACACGGCCCAGACUCCUACGGGAGGCAGCAGUGGGGAAUUUUGGACAAUGGGGGCAACCCUGAUCCAGCAAUGCCGCGUGAGUGAAGAAGGCCUUCGGGUUGUAAAGCUCUUUUGUCAGGGAAGAAACAGCAGCUCUAACACAGUCUGCGAAUGACGGUACCUGAAGAAUAAGCACCGGCUAACUACGUGCCAGCAGCCGCGGUAAUACGUAGGGUGCAAGCGUUAAUCGGAAUUACUGGGCGUAAAGCGUGCGCAGGCGGUUAUGUAAGACAGGCGUGAAAUCCCCGGGCUUAACCUGGGAAUUGCGCUUGUGACUGCAUAGCUAGAGUAUGUCAGAGGGAGGUAGAAUUCCACGUGUAGCAGUGAAAUGCGUAGAGAUGUGGAGGAAUACCAAUGGCGAAGGCAGCCCCCUGGGAUAAUACUGACGCUCAUGCACGAAAGCGCGGGGAGCAAACAGGAUUAGAUACCCUGGU